AGACACGCACUACUCUUUAACUGGAGAAUAGCCCCUCGAAAGAGGGAUUAAUACUCCGUAACAUAAUGAAGUGGCAUCACUUUAUUUUUAUAGCUCCGGCGGUUAAAGAUGGGCGUGCGCCUGAUUAGAUAGUUGGCGGGGUAACGGCCCACCAAGUCUGCGAUCAGUAACUGGUGUGAGAGCACGACCAGUCACACGGGCACUGAGACACGGGCCCG
rnacentral:rRNA from 1 species